GACGAACGCUGUCGGCGUGCUUAACACAUGCAAGUCGAGCGGAGCGGCGAACGGGUGAGUAACGCGUGAGUAACUGCCCCCCUCUCUGGGAUAACAGUUGGAAACGGAUGCUAAUACCGGACAUUGGGGGAUGACUCGCGUCCUAUCAGCUUGUUGGUGGGGUAGUGGCCUACCAAGGCGACGACGGGUAGCCGGCCUGGGAGGGCGACCGGCCACAAUGGGAUGAGGUACGGCCCAAACGUCUACCGGAGGCAGCAGGGGGGAAGAUUGCACAAGGGGGGAAAGCCUGAUGCAGAAACGCCGCGUGCGGGAUGACGGCCUUCGGGUUGUGAACCGCUUGCGGCCAUGACGCGGUAGUGGCAGAAGAAGCACCGGCUAACUACGUGCCAGCAGCCGCGGUAAUAC
rnacentral:rRNA from 1 species